rnacentral:rRNA from 1 species
UACGUAGGGUGCAAGCGUUGUCCGGAAUUAUUGGGCGUAAAGAGCUCGUAGGCGGUCUGUCGCGUCGGCUGUGAAAUCCCGAGGCUCAACCUCGGGUCUGCAGUCGAUACGGGCAAACUAGAGUAUUGCAGGGGAGAAUGGAAUUCCUGGUGUAGCGGUGAAAUGCGCAGAUAUCAGGAAGAACACCCGUGGCGAAGGCGGUUCUCUGGGACGGUACUGACGCUGAGACGCGAAAGCGUGGGGAGCGAACAGG